UAUAGUAUACUUUGUUCGAGGGGAGGAUUAUUUGAAGGGAGUCUCACAUUGGCUAAUUUAAGGAUGAUCAUGGAUUUAUAAGUAAGGAAAUACAUCUCCAUUGGUAUGAGGCCUU